GAUGAACGCUGGCGGCGUGCCUAAUACAUGCAAGUCGAGCGAACAGACGAGGAGCUUGCUCCUCUGACGUUAGCGGCGGACGGGUGAGUAACACGUGGAUAACCUACCUAUCAGACUGGGAUAACUUCGGGAAACCGGAGCUAAUACCGUAUAAUAUAUUGAACCGCAUGGUUCAAUAGUGAAAGACGGUUUUGCUGUCACUUAUAGAUGGAUCCGCGCCGCAUUAGCUAGUUGGUAAGGUAACGGCUUACCAAGGCAACGAUGCGUAGCCGACCGGAGAGGGUGAUCGGCCACACGGGAACUGAGACACGGUCCAGACUCCUACGGGACGCAGCAGUAGGGAAUCUUCCGCAAUGGGCGAAAGCCUGACGGAGCAACGCCGCGUGAGUGAUGAAGGUCUUCGGAUCGUAAAACUCUGUUAUUAGGGAAGAACAAAUGUGUAAGUAACUAUGCACGUCUUGACGGUACCUAAUCAGAAAGCCACGGCUAACUACGUG
rnacentral:rRNA from 1 species